UAUAAACAAUUAAACAUAACUAAAAAAAAUGGAGAAGAAAGUGAUGAUAGCUGCUCUAUUCCUGGCCAUGUUUGUGCUCUCCUCCGAUAUAAAGCUCGUCCAGUCUGACUCUGACGAUUGCAUUGAUGCUUGCUACACUAGCUGUGUUUUUCCCGGCGAUGAUACAGGUGAAGCUCGGGUAGAGUGUGAGAAACAAUGCGAUGAAAGAUGCGCUAAAGAAGCGAACAGGUGGGAAAGCUGAUGAGAAUCAAGACUGAUGACUUGUGUGUGAGCAGAUAUAUUUAAGGCCAUUAGAAUAAAGAAAAUCAAUAAAUUGGUCUGGGUGUUAUUGAUAAUUAUCAGGGGAAACUCUGCUGUAUUGUUAAAGCUUAUAAAAUUGAGUAUUGUUUACUCUAA